UACGUAGGGCGCAAGCGUUGUCCGGAAUUAUUGGGCGUAAAGAGCUCGUAGGCGGCUUGUCGCGUCGGAUGUGAAAGCUCGGGGCUUAACCCCGGGUCUGCAUUCGAUACGGGCAGGCUAGAGUGUGGUAGGGGAGAUCGGAAUUCCUGGUGUAGCGGUGAAAUGCGCAGAUAUCAGGAGGAACACCGGUGGCGAAGGCGGUUCUCUGGGCCUUACCUGACGCUGAGGAGCGAAAGCGUGGGGAGCGAACAGG
rnacentral:rRNA from 1 species